rnacentral:rRNA from 1 species
AGAUUUCUUUAGGGAGACUGGAACUUAGGGAGGAGUAGUGAAAUGCGUUGAUACCCUAGGGAACACUAGUGGCGAAGGCGAGUCUCUGAAAGAAAAUUGACACUGAGACACGAAAGCUAGGGGAGCGAAGCAGAUUAGAGACCUGCGUAGUCCUAGCUUUAAACGCAUGCUUGCUAGCUGCAUCAUUUCGAUUUAUCGAUAUGGUGUGGCGAAGGUAACCCGUUAAGCAAGCCACCUGGGGAGUACGGCCGCAAGGUUGAAACUCAAAGGAAUUGGCGGGGAGGCACACAACCAGUGGAACAUGUGGUUCAAUUCGAAACGAACCGAAGAACCUCACCAGGGUUUGACAUGGAAGAGUUCUAUUCUGCAGAAAUGCAGGAAAUUCGCAAGAAGGCUUUCACAGGUGCUGCAUGGCUGUCGUCAGCUCGUUCCGUGAGGAGUGCCCUUAAGUGGGACAACGAGCGCAACCCUUGUCUUGUGUUAAAUCUAUCACAAGAGACUGCCCUGAUAUUUUAUCGGGGAGGAAGGAGAGGCAGACGUCAAGUCAGCAUGGUCCUUAUACCCUGGGCUACACACAUGUUACAAUGCAACGCAACAACGGGCAUUGCCAGACCGCAAGGUCGAGCAAAUCCCUGAAAUCGUUGCUCAGUGGGGAUUGAGGUCUGCAACCCGACCUCAUGAACGCGGAAUUGGUAGUAAUCGCGGAUCAGCUACGCCGCGGUGAAUACGUUCUUGCCUCUUGCACACACCGCCCGUCAAGCCAACAAAGUCGGGGACACCUGAAUUUCGAUGUAGAUCGGAAGAGGGUAUCGCCGGCGAUGGGGGUUAAGUCGUAACAAGGUAACC